GGGUUAUUAAACUGAUAAGGAGGCAGGGCGGUCUCUAAAACCGUUAUCAUUGCGAUUCUAGUGGGUUCGAUUCCCUCAUAACCCA
rnacentral:tRNA from 1 species